GAAUGCGUGCGUGCGUGCGCGUGUGCGUGAGUGCACGCCGCGGUGGGGAGAGCUGAACUAUUGCUGCUUGCCACAGAUUGAAUUGUGUCUCCCUCCCACACCAAUUCGUAGGUUAAAGUUACAGCCCCUGAUGGGAGGGUAUUUGAAUAUAGGGCAUUUGGGGAGUAAUUAGAUUUAGAUGAAGUCAUGAGGGUGAGGCCCUCGUGAUGGGAUUGGUACCCUCAUAGGAAGAGCCACGAGAGACCUUGCUUUCCCCUCUCUCUGCCAUGUGAGGACAGCAAGAAGACAGCAUCUGCAGCCGGGAAGAGAUCUCUAACCGGGACCCCAAUCGGCCCACACCUUGAUUUUGGACUUCCCAGCCUUCAAAACAAGGGAAACCCAAACACAGGGACUCAAGGACACGUCAGAGGCACAUACAUAUGUCCCCCCUUCUAUCAAAUCAGGCUGUUCAGGUGGUUUGCUGCUCUGUGAUCAUUAGGCAUCCAUUUUCAAGAGUGUACAAUGAGGGCAACCUAUGGGAUGUGUGGGCAGCUUGACUUCUCCGCGUGACGGAUGAGGCAAAUGGGGCAAGGAGAUGUGAAAGGACUCACCCCAAGUCACAUAGCUAACAGCAGGUUGAGCUGAGAGAACCAUGCUGGAUAUUUGAGUUCACUGCUUCAGAGACUAUUGAGUUACUAAAUUAUUGCCGAAGUGUGUCAAUAUUAAAUGAUGCUUCAGAAACCAGUGUCACCAGAAAGUAUAUAGAAUUAUGAUGCCUCUAAUCCUGGAAGUAGAGAUAUAAUUGGAAAAAUUUUAUCCAAUGUGUUUGAAAUUCAUAAAGUUGUUUCAAGUCACUUGAUAUUUUAAAAAGUAACUUUCUUUGAUGCUUC